AAGAGUUGCAAAACUCCCAAACCAUUGUGAACAUACCUUCAACGUUGCUUCGGCGGGUUGGCCCCGGUCUCCGGGGUCCCCGGCCCUACUCGGGCGCCCGCCGGAGGUAUCUAACUCUUGAAAUUGUAUGGCCUCUCUGAGUGAUUUAUAAAUAAGUCA
rnacentral:misc_RNA from 1 species